CAAUAUUUUAUUUAAAGCCAAACACAUUCCUGGGACGUACAAUCGCCUGGCUGAUCUUUUGUCUCGAUUUCAGGUUCAAACCUUCAAACGCGAAGCACCAGCCUCGAUGAAUUCCUGUGCAACGGACAUUCCGCCGCAUCUGUUCCCAGCGAAUUGGGAAAUAUCGUUUCCAACUUGACACAAUCGAGCCUCCAGCCAUCCUCAAUUCCGACUUACCGACGCGCUUGGAAACUUUUUGACCAAUUCCAUUCUCAUGUGUUUCAAACAUUUUCAUAUAAAUUACCAAUUUCGCCUCCUACAUUUAUCGCCUACAUGUUUGACCGGCGCCACGCCCCCUCUACUGUCAACACCUACGUCUCGGCUCUCGGCUAUUCCCACAAAUUAAUGGGAUUGAUGGAUCCCACUAAAAUAUUUUACAUUGUGCAAAUGUUGAAAGGCUAUGGCAAACAGGGUUUUCGUUUGGACGCUAGGUUGCCUAUUACGCUAACGAUUUUAAAUCGAUUAUUAAUGGCUGUGCCACACUGUGUCGCUACGUACUACGACCAAUGCCAAUUUCGUGCGAUGUGUGCUCUAGCAUUCUUCGCAUUUUGCGCGUGGGUGAGAUCACCGCAACAUCACAGCCGGGCAAUUGCCCUAUACAGUUAAACCACUAAAACCAGCUCACCAAACUCUCAAGAGAUGGUGAAGUGAUUGGUUACAAAUUAAUAUUUGCUGAUUACAAGCAUAUAUAACUACAAUCAGCGACCAUUUACUAUAGUCAUCAACCGGCAAACAAGUGCUUGCCCUGUACAAUUAUUAUCAACAUAUUUAAAUCAUCGUGUGGCUGUAGUCCGGGUCCAGUAUUUAUGACAGUGGAGGGCGUCGCGGUGCCGAGAAAAGUUUUUAACGCUAACCUUGUUGCUUGCCUCAAAUACUGUGACCUAAGUCCGUCGCAUUACAAAUCACAUUCGUUUCGAAUCGGUGCAGCGUCUUUCGCUGCUGAGAAUGGUUUGUCCGAUGCACAGAUUCGUCUUCUAGGUCGGUGGAAAACGAAUGCAUUUCAAAAGUAUAUUCGAGUUUCAUCUCUUUCAACGACUGCUUCAUUAUCUGAGUAACACAAU
rnacentral:lncRNA from 1 species